ACAGCCUCCUUCCAAUGAAUAUUUGGAAUGAUGUUUUCAUUUAUUAGGUUGAAGCAGUUGGUGUGCUUUAGAAAAUGAUUAUAGAGCAUUGGGUCUGGCAGCUCUGUAGAAAAACAUGGAAGCAGCUGAAAGUGUUCCUCCCUCUGCUUGUAUGCUUCUGGAAGCCAUCAGAGGCCAUCCGUCAAACCAACCUGGCCUGUCUUCUGUGCUGUCACACAGGGCUGGAGCAUGUGGGCAGAAUUAAUGUGCCAGAUGUUAAUCUGGAGCAGAGUGAGCCUCGUCAUCAAACU
rnacentral:lncRNA from 1 species